rnacentral:sRNA from 1 species
GGACCACUCCUUCCGGAGUCGAGGCCAUACGGACAGCCGGGUCCACUGCCGA